GACUGCAUCAGCAUAUUUGCGAGAAAAUCUUGCUGGGAGGAGGAUCUCCAUUUGCAAAGAGGACUGGCUGGAAGAAGGAUCUCCCAAGUCUUUGUAAUAUAACUUUUCACCAUGAGAAAGAUUUGGUUGAGUGUUCUGAUCUUCAGCAUCACAGUGGGACCGUGUCUGGGGUAUCCAAGUCCGAAGGCCGACCCUCAGUCUCCUCAGCCAGGUGGCUUUAACAUCUUCAGGCCCCAGUUCCAAAGGCCUUUCUACCCCGACAGAAAUCUCCUCGGUCACCGCCCUGAGUAUCGUGCCAUCAACCACUUCCGUAAGAAGAAAAACUGAUUUAUUGACAUGUCUAGCCCAUGGAUUUGUGAAUCGUCAACUAGAACUGGAGAAUGUCAUCACCGGACUCGUCAACUACAACUGGAGACAGUCAUCACUGGACUCCUCAUCAAGAACUGGAGACUGUCUUUACUGGACUCCUCAACAAGAACUGGAGACUGUCCACUAUGGACCCCUCAACAGUAACUGGAGACUGUCAUCAAUGGACUCCUUAACAAGAACAGGAGACUGCCAUUACUGGACUUGUUAACUAGAACAGGAGACAGCCAUCACUGGACUCAACUAGGACUGGAGACUGCCAUUAUUGGACAAGUGAUUUAAUUAAUAACUGGCCAGUAAUGUUAAUAAUGUCCUGAGAUCACUGUCUAUGUUCAGUUAAUCGUCACGCAAGACCUCGGUGUAGUGAUGCACUUCCAAAAAAAAUUUACAACAAAACAGAAAAGCUUUUUCUUGGUGUUUUAUUUACGAAAAAACACGUAAUCACUAAGAUUAUUAACAACUGAUCGACUGAAGGGAAGGAGAAGCUAUAGGUAAAUCAUACAAUAUGGAACGAAAGAGAGAGAGAGAGAGAGAGAGAGAGAGAGAGAGAGAGAGAGAGAGAGAGAGAGAGAGAGAGAGAGAGAGAGAGA